GCGGGGGCAACUCCGCAAGUACAGUGGCGCACGGGUGAGUAACACGUGACUAACCUGCCCUUAAGUGGGGGAUAACCUCGGGAAACCGGGGCUAAUACCGCAUAACCUCGUGAGGUGAAAUUCCUUGCGAGCAAAGGAGCAAUUCGCUUUUGGAGGGGGUCGCGGCUGAUUAGGUAGUUGGCGGGGUAACGGCCCACCAAGCCGAUGAUCAGUAUCCGGCCUGAGAGGGCGCACGGACACACUGGAACUGAAACACGGUCCAGACUCCUACGGGAGGCAGCAGUGGGGAAUUUUGCGCAAUAGGGGAAACCCUGACGCAGCAACGCCGCGUGGAGGAUGAAGGUCUUUGGAUUGUAAACUCCUUUCGACCGGGACGAUUAUGACGGUACCGGUGGAAGAAGCACCGGCUAACUCUGUGCCAGCAGCCGCGGUAAUACAGAGGGUGCAAGCGUUGUUCGGAAUUAUUGGGCGUAAAGGGCGCGUAGGCGGUGUCGCAAGUCCGUGGUGAAAUCUCCAGGCUCAACUUGGAGUCUGCCGCGGAAACUGCGGU
rnacentral:rRNA from 1 species